UUUCAGUUUAACCCUUUAGCAUUUAGAUUGCUCUGUCAAAUGUAAUGCUUAUUUAGUCACAUUGAUAUGAAUUAGUUAAGCCUUACUUUGUAACUUUGAGAUUUCAGUGAUGUCAUUAUUUAUUUUUAGAAUGACAUUGUAGGUUAAAGUAUGGCAGUGAGCUGGCA